ensembl:lncRNA ITFG2-AS1 ITFG2 antisense RNA 1
AAGAGGCUCCCGCUGAACUCCAGCGCCACGCGCUGCACGUAGCUAACUGACCUCAUGGCACCUCCAAGAGCAGAGGGAGCGGAGAGGCCCAGUAAAUAUUCCCUGAACCCCCGUCGCGACAGCCGCCAGAGCGGAAGGCCACCUAAGGCAGCAAGUUACGUCACUGCCUGAACCUCCAAUCUCUGCCUCUUCCUCCUUUAACCUUACAGAGGAGGCGGGUCUUCCGGGCUUGGAGGCGGGCUUCCCAACUCUGAUGAUGCAGAGCUGGAAGAAACCUCAGGAAUGCUUUCGAUUUUGCAGAUGAGGACAGAAGCCCAGGACUUGCCAAAGGAACCUCAUGGGAGAGUCUGGAUUAGUUCAGAGACCUCACCUUUCCAUUUAACUUCUGAGUCUUGGUUUUCUUAUCUGUAAAUAGGGUUAUUAAAGUUAUACCUUCUUUGUA